AGAUGGCGACCGGCGCACGGGUGAGUAACACGUAUCCAACCUGCCGAUAACUCGGGGAUAGCCUUUCGAAAGAAAGAUUAAUACCCGAUGGUAUAAUCAGACCGCAUGGUUUGAUUAUUAAAGAAUUUCGGUUAUCGAUGGGGAUGCGUUCCAUUAGGCAGUUGGUGAGGUAACGGCUCACCAAACCUUCGAUGGAUAGGGGUUCUGAGAGGAAGGUCCCCCACAUUGGAACUGAAACACGGUCCAA
rnacentral:rRNA from 1 species